rnacentral:rRNA from 1 species
UACGUAGGGGGCGAGCGUUGUCCGGAAUUACUGGGCGUAAAGAGCUCGUAGGUGGUUUGUCGCGUUGUCCGUGAAAACUCACAACUCAAUUGUGGGCGUGCGGGCGAUACGGGCAGACUGGAGUACUGCAGGGGAGACUGGAAUUCCUGGUGUAGCGGUGGAAUGCGCAGAUAUCAGGAGGAACACCGGUGGCGAAGGCGGGUCUCUGGGCAGUAACUGACGCUGAGGAGCGAAAGCAUGGGGAGCGAACAGG